rnacentral:rRNA from 1 species
GAUGAACGCUGGCGGCGUGCCUAAUACAUGCAAGUCGAGCGAACGGACGAGACGCUUGCUUCUCUGAUGUUAGCGGCGGACGGGUGUGUAACACGUGGAUAACCUCCCUAUAAGACUGGGAUAACUUCGGGAAACCGGAGCUAAUACCGGAUAAUAUUUUGAACCGCAUGGUUCAAAAGUGAAAGACGGUCCUGCUGGCACUUAUAGAUGGAUCCGCGCUGCAUUAGCUAGUUGGUAAGGUAACGGCUUACCAAGGCAACGAUGCAUAGCCGACCUGAGAGGGUGGUAGGCCGCCCUGGAACUGAGCCACGCUCCAGGCUCCUACGGGAGGCAGCAGUCGGGAAUCUUCCGCAAUAGGCGAAAGCCUUACGGAGCAGCCCCGCGUGAGUGAUGAAGGUCCUCGGAUCGUAAAACUCUCUUACUAGUGAAGAACAUAUUUGUAAGUAACUGUGCACAUCUUGACGGUACCUAAUCAGAAAGCCCCGGCUAACUACGUG